rnacentral:tRNA from 1 species
GCCGAUGUAGCUCAGCUGGCAGAGCAACGCAUUCGUAAUGCGUGGGUCGGGGGUUCGAAUCCCUCCAUCGGCACCA